rnacentral:sRNA from 1 species
CUUGGUCAUUUAGAGGAAGUAAAAGUCGUAACAAGGUUUCCGUAGGUGAACCUGCGGAAGGAUCAUUAAUUAUCGGUAGUUUACUACCGUUUGAAGGGGGUGGAAAGUUUCCAGGUCUUCCUGGGGGUGAGUACAUCCUAUUCUUAACCCUUGACUUUUUGCGCACUCAUGUUUCCUCGGCGGGCUUGCCUGCCGAAUGGACAAACCAAUAACCUAUUUAAUAUUUAAUCAGCGUCUGAAUUAUUUUAAUAAUUACAACUUUCAACAACGGAUCUCUUGGUUCUGGCAUCGAUGAAGAACGCAGCGAAAUGCGAUAAGUAAUGCGAAUUGCAGAAUCCGUGAGUCAUCGAAUCUUUGAACGCAUAUUGCGCCCUCUGGUAUUCCGGGGGGCGUGCCUGUUCGAGCGUCAUUAUCACCCCUCAAGCCCGGCUUGUUGUUGGAUGUGGCGGCGGCCUUUAAUGGCGUACCGCCCGUCUCAAAGAUAAUGACGGCGUCUGUGAGGACUCCUGUACACUGAGCUUUCGGGCACGUACUAGGCUGAUACUCGCAGACCCGGUCUUUAGGGCUCGCCUCGGCGGCCCAACUUUUCUAAGGUUGACCUCGGAUCGGGUAGGAAUACCCGCUGAACUUAAGCAUAUCAAUAAGCGGAGGAAAAGAAACCAACAGGGAUUGCCUCAGUAACGGCGAGUGAAGCGGCAACAGCUCAAAUUUGAAAUCUGGCCUCUUUGGGGUCCGAGUUGUAAUUUGGAGAGGAUGUUUCGGGUACGGUCCGGGCUUAAAUUUCUUGGAACAGAAUGUCACAGAGGGUGAGAAUCCCGUCUGGAGUCCGGACACGGCCUAUGUGAAACUCCUUCGACGAGUCGAGUUGUUUGGGAAU